AUGAUUGGGCCUAGUUAGGGGGGGCUGCAAACCUCACACGACGAUCCAGUCGGAAGCAGGUGACCACACGACCUGCGUCUGCCUUCUCCGGCUGCCCGGCGUCCAAGCUCCGAGAAGCAAAGUCCGCCCCCCCCGAACCCACCGCAGGGGAGUGACGCUGACGACUGAGAUCCCGGCGUGCGGAACCGGCCCGAGCAGGCGACCAAACCGCCGCGCGGAUGGCGGCGGCCGCGGCGCAGCUGCUGGGCGAGGACGGGCGCGGCUACGAGCUCGCGCGGCGGCUGGAGGCGUGCGGCGCGUGGCGCGCGUGGCUGGGCGACGACGCCGCGCACGCCGCGCUCGCGCAGCACCUCACGUCCCCGGCCACCUGGGACGCCUUCCUCUCCCCCGCCGCCUCCCCGUCGCCGCCCCCGCGCCCGCUCCUCCUCCUCCAGCUCCGCGUCCGCGCGCUCCUCUUCGACAAGGCCUCCGCUGCGCUCCAGCUUGCCCCCCGCGGCGCGGGCUCUGCAGGCCUUCACUCCAUCAACGCCAGCUAUCUUCAGCUUCAUGGAGAUGAUAUUUAUUUCUCUUUGGAAGAUGAGCAUGAAGAUAACGCUCAACAGCAAGUAUGUUAGACCUUUCCCAUUUCAUGCUUGUUUUUGUUAUUACUGGCUGAUGUAUAUGAAAAAACAUUCUUUUUCCCUUUUUCGGCCUUUUUGUCCCUUAUUUCUGGAAUAAUGUGCUUCUUCUAUGCAACAGUUCAAGCCACGCUCCAUAUGGCAUGUAUUUCAUGUUGUACUUUUUAGUCUUAUUUGAUUUCAGAUGUGUUGCAUUAUUUUCGUAGUUAAAACAUUUCACAUUCAUGGUUACAUGAAUCAGCUUUUCUCCAUGAGAUGCUAUUGUUAUUAGUUCUUAUAUAGAUUCCAAAUCCGCCCAUUAACUAAAAAACUCCUGGAUAUAUUGCUGCUGGGCUGGUUAAUCUAAUUAUUUAUGACGGGAAAAUUACAAAAAAGAAAAAACACCUGUUAGGCUGCAAGUUAGGUUAUUUAUUGCACAAUGAAAUGUUGGCACUUCUCUUGCUAUGGUCUGCAGCCUUCUGAGUUCAUCAAUGUAUGCUGUCACUGUGUCAAUUGUCAUUUCAUUUUUUAGAUGAACAAUUGUAAUUCAUGCCAUGCACCUUACAUUAGUGAAUCAAAUCCCUGACUGUUGAGUACUUGAAUAUGGCCCUUAGCUGUUUACUAUGCAUCUUAUAAACUGUCGUUAUAUGGUAUAGUUGCAAUCCUGGUAUGCUAACCAAAGACGGCAUCAAUUCAUCUGCUAUAUUCUGAUUCUUGCAAUCCUGGGCCCUGUUUGGAACAUUAGCCCAUGGCUAAUUUUUAGGGAUAAUAUUUACCCUUGAAUUGGUAGGCUAAGGAUUAGCCCAAGGUGGGUUGUUUGGAUCCAUGGGCUAAUGCUUAUCCUCACUCUCCAUUCUCAUGUCUAGGCGUGUGUGUGCAUACUCACCUUUUUGUGGGGACCAUGCAAAAUUAGCCCCAUUAUCACCUCUUGGAGGGGCUAAGGAUUUUGGGAGGGAUAAUCCACUUUAGCUCAAAAUUAUCCCACAUGUUUGGAUGCAUGAGGGAUAAUUUGGAGCUAAAAGGUGAGGGCUAAGGAUUAUCCCUUGUAUCCAAACAGAGCCCUGGUAUGCUAACCAAUGAUGGCAUCAAUUCAUCUGCUAUAUUCUGAUUCUUUAAGACUUACCAUGCCCUGCAGGUGCCUUCUAGAACUGCAUUUAGUCCAAGCAGAGACGGUUCAAUGUUGUCUCAAAGGCAUAACCGAUAUGAUGAAUUACCUGACUCGUGGUACAAACAAUAUGCUAACAAAUUCAGGACAUGGCACAGUACGCUUCGCUCAGGUGACAAAGAAAUACCAAAGAGAACACCAGAGGGAAUGUCUGACUAUGUUAAGGUUUGCAGUGUACAUAAAAGGAAGAGAGCAUUGUUUAUGGAUGAUCCCAGCAUAUCUGCUCCCAUGGUUGAAAAUGGCCCUUCCCUGCACUCAAAGAAUGCUGGGGAGCACAGCAAUUCAGCUGACGAAACUUUAAUUCCAGAAAUUAGAUUUCCAUCUGACUGUGUUCCAGAAAGUGCAAUUCCGAGAACAAGUGGAAUAUCUAUGACCAAAAUAGAGGUUCACGGGGUUCUUGAUAACUUGCCAGCACCAGUUAGCCGUAACACUGCAAUGCUUGAAAGGUUUGGUAUGGUACCUGAAUAUUACAAGACAGGAAACAAAUAUAGAGGAAAAGAUGGAUCUAGAGUAGAAGGGAAAUCUUUAAGUCAAGAGCAAGCCUUGCUCAUGACAAGGAAGUUGGUUGCUCGUUACUUAGCAAAUUCAGGUUUUCAUAGUGGAACUGCGGUCUCUAUUGAUGUUCUUUCCGAGAUAAUUAUUAAGCACAUAUGUAAAUUGGGAUGCAACUUGAAGCUUCUAACUGAUAGCUACAGGAAGCAAUUUUCAUCGGUUGAACUCCUUAAGAUGUUCCUACAGACUGUUGGCUACAGUAACAUUGGGCCCUUGAUGGAGAUCACAAAGAUGGGAAAUAGAGUGGCCAACUACCCCGUUCAUCAAGAUGCACAAGUUCUUCAGUCACAACAUCCAAACUCCCUUCUUCAUGCACAGCAGGCUGCCUGCAACUUUGAGUCAGUUGGUGAAAGUAUAUAUUGCUUGACCGUCAUUCGUCAAUAUCGGUAGCAGGGACAAGAUACCACAUUCUUCAAACUGGAUUUCGGAGGAAUUCUGUUUCAUUCUCAGUUUGGUUUGGACCCUAUGGUGGUUAUCACUUACCAGUGAAAACUAAUAUGCUUGUUUGGCAUUAUUGUUAGUUUUUGUUAAGGAACUAAUCAGGUAGUGGCUUAACUUAAAUAUGCCUGACUUGGUCAUUUCCUGCUCAGAUGUCAAGACUUGCUCUUCAAAAAGUACUCUGAAUUCUGAAAUAGAUCCAUUAACUUGCUAGAAUGGUGCAUAAUGACAUUGGUAGCUACUGAGACUGACAAUUGUGGACCCUUUCUCAGCUAAAGCCUCUUUUGAUAUCUGAUACAUUUGAGGUAGCAAAUAUGAUUAUGUCGUAAUAUUUGCCUGUUAAAUCAUAUGAGUUCUAUGAAACCAGCUUGAUCUUGAGUCAGCAAUUGAUAAGUCAGCACUAUGAUGAGAAACUUUUCAAGUAUAUUUGUUCCUUGGAAUCCGUUGUUUCUUUCAAUUACCUAAGCUGUUUGAAACAAAUGACUCCUGAAAUUUGUGUUGUCAGGCAUGAUAUAACUAUUUUUCUGCAUAUACAUAGUAAUAUAGGCAUCCGUGUUCAAGACUGUAAUCAGUUGCUCAAAUAUCUUUGAGAGCAUGAUAAUGCCCUGUUCGAUUUAACAUUGUUACAUAUCCACAAUCGCAGCUUACAAGGCAGUUUCCUCUGCAACAGCUUCAGAAUUUGACACCACAGCAACAGCAACAGCUUCAGAAUUUGACACCACAGCAGCAGCAGCUUCUGCAGCAGCAGCAUUGGCUGAGGCGCAGCCAAUUGAGCAGCCCCCGUGGUCCUCUUGCGAUGGCAGACAAGAACCAGCCUAUGGUGAAUGUGAAGGUCGAGAACACUAUGGAUUCUCAAAUCGAUGGCCCAUAUGGAUCUUUCAGUAGACAACAGCAAUUAAACCUAAGGCAGCAGCAGCUGUUGCAUCAUCAGCAACAGCAACUUCAGCAGCAGCACCUCCAGCAGCAGCAGCAGCAACUACAACAGCAGCAGCAGCAGCAACAGCUUAAUCAGCAGCAGCAGCAACUACAACAACAGCAGCAGCACCUUAAUCAGCAGCAGCAGCAAUUGCAACAGCAGCAGCAACUACAACAACAGCAGCACCUUAAUCAGCAGCAGCAACAGCACCUGCAACUUAGCCAGCAGCAGCAGCAGCAGCUUAACCAGCAGCAGCACCUGCAACAACAGCAGCAACUUAGCCAGCAGCAGCAGCAGCAGCAGCAGCAGCACCAAAUGACCAUGUCAGCCAACCAGAAUGCACAGCUAGCACAGCAGUUCAAGCAAGUGCCAUCCAUGAGUGCAUUCGGCAUGCGGAUGCCACCUGUGAAAGUAGAAGCCUUCCAUGAACUGGUGAGCGGAGACUCUUCGCUGAAGCAGGACAACGACCCUAACAAACUCACUUCUCCAAAGUAGUUGACGCUCUUGACUGUUGUGUCUAGCUGCCGUGUACAAAGGAUAGCGCUUAUUGCUGUUUCCCAUUUUCCCUCGCAUGAACCUCAUAUGAUUCGCGAGCUUGAUUGCAUACAGCAAAAAAAGACAAGCCGUGUACUGUAGAUGUAAGGUAUCUGGCUAGUUCCUUUAUUGUUGUUAUAUAGCUCAAUGCCAAAAGAUACACUCCGUUCGAUUGGCUGUGGAUAGUGCUGAUUUGUUACGAGAGAACAGUACUGAUAUAUGUCUGGUAGCUGGUGGUUGAUGCUGAUUUGACAUGAGAGAAAAACACUA